GAUGAACGCUGGCGGCGUGCCUAAUACAUGCCAGUCGAGCGAACGGACGAGAAGCUUGCUUCUCUGAUGUUAGCGGCGGACGGGUGAGUAACACGUGGAUAACCUACCUAUAAGACUGGGAUAACUUCGGGAAACCGGAGCUAAUACCGGAUAAUAUUUUGAACCGCAUGGUUCAAAAGUGAGAGACGGUCUUGCUGUCACUUAUAGAUGGAUCCGCGCUGCAUUAGCUAGUUGGUAAGGUAACGGCUUACCAAGGCAACGAUGCAUAGCCGACCUGAGAGGGUGAUCGGCCACACUGGAACUGAGACACGGUCCAGACUCCUACGGGAGGCAGCAGUAGGGAAUCUUCCGCAAUGGGCGAAAGCCUGACGGAGCAACGCCGCGUGAGUGAUGAAGGUCUUCGGAUCGUAAAACUCUGUUAUUAGGGAAGAACAUAUGUGUAAGUAACUGUGCACAUCUUGACGGUACCUAAUCAGAAAGCCACGGCUAACUACGUG
rnacentral:rRNA from 1 species